CCUACGGGUGGCAGCAGUGGGGAAUAUUGGACAAUGGGCGCAAGCCUGAUCCAGCCAUGCCGCGUGAGUGAUGAAGGUCUUCGGAUCGUAAAGCUCUGUGGGAAGGGACGAAAAAGCCGGGCCUAAUACGCACGGCCUUGACGGUACCUUCUUAGCAAGCACCGGCUAACUCCGUGCCAGCAGCCGCGGUAAUACGGAGGGUGCAAACGUUGCUCGGAAUCAUUGGGCGUAAAGCGCACGUAGGCGGUUCGGUAAGUCGGAUGUGAAAUCCCUCG
rnacentral:rRNA from 1 species